AAACGCGAUAGCACGGAGACAGCUGGCUCAAUCGCCCGCCUGCAGCCCGUCCCUUCUCUUCCCACCGCAGACUGUCUGGGUUCCACCCACCAUGCUACCCUGCAGGCACAGGGGUGUGCCGAUCCACGGAAGGACGACAGGGCAGGAGCUUGCAUGAGAGCAGGGACCCACUGUUUUGGGGAAAACCCUGAAGAGUGCAUGUUCUAAUAUUUGCCAAGAUGGAGACUCAGAGAAACAGACUUAUAUAACACUCUUCAGGGAUGAAGCCUCUCAGGAUACAAUGCCAAACAUGGAGCAAAACACCUGAGCUGUGGAGACUCACAGAUGGUGAGAAAAAUGAUUUCUGCCUGACGUUAGAAGUUCGGUGCCCAGGAAAGAAGUUGUCACGGUUUAUAUAUCCAGUGUUUCCGGAGCCUCGUGCACUCAAAGGAAGGGCGGCUUUUGAAGGGUGAUGGAAUGGAAGGGACGCUACAGAUGACGUUAGGAGGCGAGGCCUGCUCAGAGGGGCGGUCACUGGGAUGCCUCUCCCCAGCUCCUCCUUGCACUGGUUUCCCUGGCUGCCCCGAGGUGAGCCGCUUCUCUCUGCCGAGGCCCUUAUGACCC